rnacentral:tRNA from 1 species
AGUAAAGUCAGCUAACCAAGCUAUUAGGUCCAUACCCUGAGCAUGUGAGUGAAACCCCCACCUUUGCUA